rnacentral:ncRNA from 1 species
UUGCAUGUCAAAGUGUAAUGCAGGUGUCCUAAAAACGAGCUCAGCGAUGCCAGAAACCUGUGGAGCAGAAGGACAAAAGCUCACUUGAUCUUGAUUUUCAGUAAGAAUACAGACUGUGAAAGCGGAGCUUCACAAUCCUUCUGACUUUCUGGGUUUUAAACAGGGA